rnacentral:rRNA from 1 species
UACGGAGGGUGCGAGCGUUGUCCGGAAUCACUGGGCGUAAAGGGCGCGUAGGCGGCCUGGCAAGUCGGUGGUGAAAGCCCGGGGCUCAACUCCGGAAUUGCCUUUAAGACUGCAUCGCUCGAAUUGUGGAGAGGUAAGUGGAAUUCCGAGUGUAGAGGUGAAAUUCGUAGAUAUUCGGAAGAACACCAGUGGCGAAGGCGACUUACUGGACACAUAUUGACGCUGAGGUGCGAAAGCGUGGGGAGCAAACAGG